UACAGAGGUCUCAAGCGUUGUUCGGAUUCAUUGGGCGUAAAGGGUGCGUAGGUGGCGCUGUAAGUCGGGUGUGAAAUUUCGGAGCUUAACUCCGAAACUGCAUUCGAUACUGCGGUGCUUGAGGACUGGAGAGGAGACUGGAAUUCAUGGUGUAGCAGUGAAAUGCGUAGAGACAUGAGGAAGACCAGUGGCGAAGGCGGGUCUCUGGACAGUUCCUGACACUGAGGCACGAAGGCCAGGGGAGCAAACGGG
rnacentral:rRNA from 1 species